AAAAAAUGGCAGCAACUGUGCUUUAUACAUUGAUACGUUUUAUAAUACCAUUUAUAUUAAUUUUUGCAAGCUCUAAAACAUCUACUGAUAUUAUUUUACGUCAAUUUGGAUUUCUUUACUUUAAAGGAUUAAGCUUCGGUUCUAUAGCGCACUGGAUUCUGCCAGAUAUAAUUGUGUUUCUAGUUACACUUGUCUCUUUAAUUUGUUUUAAAAUUUCCAAUAAGAAGCAGAGAAAAAAAA